GGCAGGGGCCACCUGGGCUGGGGCCACCUGGAGCUCCUGUCCUGGGUGGGGCAGGGCUGUUUUUGUACAGAUACACAAACACCCUGCUCAGCUGGAGAUGAGGUUUGCAGAGAGAACUGUUUUUCCAUCGGGCAGUUUGGGUUCUGUGUUUCAGCCUGAACCGAGGUCUAGAUCGAGCCCUGCUAUCGUCUUCUGAGUUUCACACUUGCACAUUGCUUUUUGGUUUGGGUUUUGUUAUUUUUUUUCCUCCUUUUUUAAUUAUAAAACUUUUACCUUGUUCUUGAAAGCUGCAGCACCUGUCUUGGAAACUUGCAGUUGUAAUAUCUUUGCUUUGGUUUGUUGUAUUUUUUGGUUUUUUGUUGUUCUGCUGAGACUUUUUAUGAAGGGAGCGUCGGCAGAGGGAAAAAAUGUUGCCUGUGUGUUGCAUCUCACAGAAGUUGAAAUCCUGGCCCUGUUGAAGGGGCCAGGGUGUCACCUGGUAUUUCUAGUCUUAACUGAUGCUGUGGCACAUCUGCCUUGUGCAGAGAUCUCCAUUUUUUACUGUGACUCUCUUGGUUAACAGUUAGCUGCCGACAUAAUUUGGUAUCCCAGGCCAAUGGAGAACCAUUUCAGGUCACAUCCUCGCAGCCAUCUGGGUUGUUCAGCAACCCAAGGGUAUAAAUGUAUUUAUAUGCAUAUAUUGUAUUGAUUCUAAUAUAAAACUUCUGAUCUAAAGCAUUUUGAAUUGCUGGAUAAAGGGAUUUGUUUGAAGAGUGUAUAACUAGUUCUUGAAGAGGUACAGCUUCAGAAUGUACACAGAUUGUGCAUUGUGUAUAGACUACUCUGGCUUUUCCUCAGCCUCUACUUUUGUAUUAAAAAUAUGACUGAAUAAAUCCUUGAAAUAUUAA